rnacentral:rRNA from 1 species
UACAGAGGGUGCAAGCGUUAAUCGGAAUUACUGGGCGUAAAGCGUGCGUAGACGGUUAUUUAAGUCAGGUGUGAAAGCCCCGGGCUCAACCUGGGAAUUGCAUUUGAGACUGAAUAGCUAGGGUGCGGAAGAGGGAAGCGGAAUUCCGGGUGUAGCGGUGGAAUGCGUAGAGAUCCGGAAGAACACCGGUGGCGAAGGCGGGUCUCUGGGCCGAUACUGACGCUGAGGAGCGAAAGCGUGGGGAGCGAACAGG